ensembl:misc_RNA 7SK 7SK RNA
AGAUAUGAAGGCGAUCUGGCUGAGACAUCUGUCACCCCAUGGAUUGCCAGGGUCAAUUCAGUUGAUAAUGGCUGGCUAGGUGGAAGUUCCCUCCUCCCCCAUGGUUCCAUGUGUAUCUCUCCCAAAGUUGUGGACUUGGUUGAGGAAGACGACCUUCCCCAAUAAAGGAAAACCAUUCGUCAGUCUAGGGUCUAGGAGUAGCUACACUCCUCUGCUAGAAUCUCCAAAUAAGCUUGUAAGGUCCAUUUGUAGGAGAAUGUAGAAUAGUCAAGCUUCCAAGACUCCAGACAUAUCCAAAUGAUGUGCUGCAUGUAGCAGUGUGUCUUUGUUU